rnacentral:lncRNA from 1 species
AAUACUACAAUACUUUCUCCCAGAAACAAUAUUCCUUCAUCAACUGAUAACAACAGUGUGCAACCUUACACUCUCAAAAGAUUGCUUAAAACUCAAUAAUUUCAUCUAACACCAGAAAUAACAGACUUCACUCUAACCAAUCUAAAUUCACAUAAUUUUUGUAAUCACAGACUUCCUCUGUCAAAACACACACAGCUCUCAAUAAACAACAAUCAUAAUCUUUUA